rnacentral:rRNA from 1 species
GCAGGCUGCAACUCGCCUGCAUGAAGUUGGAAUUGCUAGUAAUCGCGAAUCAGAAUGUCGCGGUGAAUACGUUCCCGGGCCUUGUACACACCGCCCGUCACACCAUGAGAGUCGAUAACACCCGAGGCCUGUGAGCUAACCGUAAGGAGGCAGCAGUCGAAGGUGGGGUUGAUGAUUGGGGUGAAGUCGUAACAAGGUACC